rnacentral:rRNA from 1 species
GUCCACGCCCUAAACGAUGGAUGCUAGACGUCGGAGGUAUCGACCCCUCCGGUGUCGCAGCUAACGCAUUAAGCAUCCCGCCUGGGGACUACGGCCGCAAGGUUGAAACUCAAAUGAAUUGACGGGGACCCCGCACAAGCGGUGGAGCAUGUGGAUUAAUUCGAUACUAACCGAAGAACCUUACCCAGGUUUGACAUCGAGGGAAAGCCUGUGAAAGCAGGCCCUCGGCCACAAGCCGACCCAAAGACAGAUGUUGCAUGGCUGUCGU